AUCUAAAAUGGAUCUUUCCAUAACCGCGUCCACGCAUCAUCACAUGCAGAGUUCUUACCAAACUCGAUGAAGGAGUACGGCCGGGAGACUGUCGGGACCUUCUUCCCGUGCUGCUCAUGAAACUCCGCCUGCAGGUCCUCCAGCAUUCCUGCUUGUACCCACUGAAAGGCCAUGGAGCCCGCCUCCAGAGUGCAGCGUGACGGACUCUGCUCGUUCAGCUUCCUGAAGAGCUGCUUCGCUUGGCUCUGGUACUGCUGCAGAUCUCGACCCAGCUGGAGCGACACAAGAACACCCACCGUCACCACGGACGCCUCGCACCCAAAAGAAGCUCAGGUAGGUCCAGGUGGAGGACAUCACGGCGACCGGGUUCUAGUCGAGAGCAGAGACCGCCCACAGAGCGGGCGUGGGAGUGUCCCUGCUCACAAAGCGCCGGACGCACAGACUGACGCCGGUUCUGACAACGUUCACAUCAAACACUGAGACCACAUCCUCUCCAUCACUGCAGCAGCACAGACACACGGGAGCACAAGGCAGAGGACACAAACCUUCUCACUUCCCUUCAGGAAAGCAACAAGACAGUAAAGGAAAAGAAGUUAGACUUCCGUCAUUUCAAAAUAAAACACCUCAGACUUCUAAUGAAGCUCAAGUCAGAAAAGUAACAUGAACGUUUACUGUCAGGAUCCGUCCAAGACGCUGAAAACACAUCACCAUCUGGUGGACAAACGGUGUAAUUGCAGUUACCUGAAACUACGUACGUUUGACGUUUUUUAAUGAUUUCGUUUUUUUUUAUUUUAAAGCUAAAACUUUCCAGUAUUUUCACUGAGUUUAUUCAAUUAUUCAUUUAAAAAUCACAGAGACUGUAGUAAAUAAUGGAGAGAGUCCGUUUCUACAGGCCUGGAUGAGUGAGAAAUGUUGAAGCAGAAACGACAGUGAUGCGAUGCUCACGGAGCUUUAGAGCCCAGAAACACCUGAAGACGCUCAGCGGCCUCAUCUUGGACGGUGUUCGGUCAAACGGAGCCCCGGGAGCGGCGGCGCAGCUGGAAACUGAGAGCUCCGGUGUCGCUCCAGACUAGGAACGAUCCAAUGUACCGGCUCGGAUCAAUAGAGUUUAUCUAUCGUAUGUUACGGUGAAUCAAUAAGGAAUUAACAGCAGCCCGAACGCAGAGAGAAAUGAAGGCUAAAACCGUCAACCUGCUCGUCCUCCUGCAUGGAGGCGGCCAGCGGAAGUCCGUCCGCCAGCCUGGCGAUCAUCGUGAGCAGCACCAUCUCCGCCGGUGUUCCGCUGACCCUCCGCGGCCCUCAAAGUGCUCCGGUGAGCUGGCAGCAGCGCGUGCGUGACAGCUCGUAAAAAGUGACAACACCGCAAGAGACGCGCUGAGCUGGCCGGAAACGCCGCAGCUUUCUGUGCAGCAGCCAAAUGGCGUCGACCGGAAAACAGGCGGAACCAAAGUCCCGGCAGAAGAGUUCCGCCCUCGAUUCAAACGGUUCUUCCAGCAUUUUCUGUACAUUUUGCCGUGUUUUUAAAACAAAAGAUCAACUUAUGGAAGGAUUUUUAAACACAAAUCACAGAAGCUAAAUUACGACGGAGUUUUAGGGUCAACAUGAACAUAAUCCGAGGGGAAAAGGCGUAAAAUUAUGAGGACAACGUCGGGGAGAACGUCAAACUUCUACAAGAAUAAAAUAGUAAACUUAUGACGAAAAACGUCAUUUUUUAAAGAAAAAAAUCGUAAAUUACGGGAACAAAAAGGACAAAUAUUCAAGAAGUAGUAAAUAAAAAGUCUAAAUUUUACAAUAAUAAAGCUUCAAAGUUAUGAGGAGAAAAAUUGAGUAGGCCUAUAAACUCAUAAAACUGUGAUGAGAGAAAAGAAGCUUGACGAGAAUAAUGUUGUAAACUCGUGAGAAUUUGUGGUAAAAUUAGGAGAAAAAAGUCAAACAUUUGCAAGAGUAAAUUUAUAAAUUUAGAAAAAAAAGUAUAACGAAAGAGGUCAAAAUUUCACAAGAAUAAAGUAUUAUGAAGAAAAAAAUAAUAAAAGUCUGAGGUAUAAUAUCAGCGUUUUACGAGAAUCGGGUCAUUAAACGAUGAUGAGGGAAAAAGACAAAAUUUUACGAGAAUACAGUUAUCAGGUCAUCAGAGAUCUUCCUAAACGUCUUAGGAAAAUGUAACAUUUCACGAAACAAAAGUUGUGCAGUUAUUACAUUUCAUCAGAAUAAAAAACUAAAUUUAUGAUUUAAAAAUGAUUAAUUUUACAAAGUCAUGCUUUUUGGAAAAUAAAGUUGUAUUUAAACAAACAAAACAUUUACAAGUAGGCCAAACGCAGAUCCAUGAAGUUUGUGAGCUGUGAACUCACUGUUCCUGAGAAAUAAUACAAUCAAAUUAAAAUCUAGUUUUAAUGAACUGUUUACAACAUAAACAAACGUGACGUUUGGUUGUCUUUACAUAUUUAAACCAACAGGUAACAUUUUAUUUUUUUAAAAAGCCCAAUUUCUUUUCUCUAAAACUAUGAUUUCUUGAAGCUUAAAUUCUGUGUUCAUUCUUGUAAAUUGUUGAUUUUGUUCUUAUAAUUGUACAACUUUGUGCUCCGACAGUUUUGAUUUAUUUCUCAUAUAUUUGUCUGUUUUUCUUCUUUAACGUGUCCCUAACACUGUCAUACUAUGUUGGAGUAACGAUUACAUAAAAAUCAUACUUGAAAUAUAUUAAAGAUAUUAUAUUCCAAAAAUAUAAACAAUUGAAAAAUGUUGGUUAUUUUCCCUACAUGUUACAGUUAGGCUACAUUAUGUGUUUAAACUAAAUAAUCCACCUUUGUUUGUAUUUGCUAUCAGUUAUUUUUAACCAUUUGAGAGGGAAAAUGUGCGGGCCUACCGAUGGCGAAGUUAAAUAAACGUUUUCUCCUUCCACUGUCAUUAAAACAACAUGUUUGCAUGUUGUUUUGUGGUAAUAAAUAAGAGUUCUUCCUUCCUGUGUGGUUACACUGAAACCAGCGAUGAUUAAGUAUAGACGAGACAGCCGUGAAUUUAUGAGAGAAAACAUCAUAGAUUUAUUAGACUUUUAGUGACACAAAGUAACGAAACAUUUUCUAAAAUACAAUCUUUAAUACGAAAUUAUUUUCCCUUUUACUGCCUUUCAGAAUAAAGAGAAAACUAAAACACAAACAAGCGAAGAAAUCUUUUCUUUGUGAUGCCUGUUAUUUAGUCGUUCAGCUUUUCUCUGAGUCUCACUGGCGUUAAAGUCUUACAAUCACCACAAGUUUCCAAAAAUGUCAAAUUAAACACAGAGUUGGUUAAAGUGGCUCAAAAAGUGUAAAAAGAGUGAUUUAAAGGUGAAGUCCGAUCAAUGCUGAUGAUCUAUAAAGAUCUUAGGUGAAAUUUUCAACACACACGUGUUCACAUAAAAAGGUUUAUAAAACACAAAGGAGGAGCAGAUGAGCAGCAACGUCUGAAUUAGCACCAUUACAAACAAACAUACUUUUUAUGGAUGAAAUAGAAACAUUUAAAGGUAAAAACAUUAAAAAUUUCCAUAAAAAACUGUUCUUCCCUUAACUGAAGGAGCAUUUCAAGUUUUGUAAAAAUUGUAACUGUUUCUAAAAAUGUGCCUGAAACUCCCGAGUGGACGUCUUGGAGGUGGGACCACCGCCUGUUUCUCAGUCCUCCAGCGUGAAACGACUCCGCCGCCGUUGAUGAGACGCAGGUCGGCUUCGGGUUUAGGGGAACACGCUGCGGUACUUCUGGAGAAUCUGCUGCGAGCGCUCCAGAGGACACUGCAGCAGCGGGAGGCGGGGGGGCCCCAGAUGCAAGCCGGACACCUCCGCCAUCAGCUGCUUGUUCACGCCGACGUCAAAGCCUGGAAGUCACAGAAAACCAGCUGUAACCGUCAGCAAAAUCCCUCCGCGGUUCCCAGAGUCACUGACAUCACUCACCGAGUCUCAUAGCAAAACUCAGCAGCUCCUGCAUCUGGAACUGAACUCUCAGUUAGACAAAAGAAACAAACUCCAAUGAAGCAGCAGACGCAUCGGCAGUACCUGGAUGGCUCUGGCCUGGAUGAGGUCCCCCCCCUCAAAUGCUGACAGAAGCUUGUUCAUGUGACUCCCGAUGUAGUUGAACGUGCUGCAAGAGGAGACACUAGUGAGAGACACGAGCGGAGAGACGUGAGGACCACGUCACGGAGAGUCACCGACCUGCCCACCGCUCCGUGGGCCCCCAUGGCCAGCGCCGCCAACAGUUGCUACGGGAAAAAGCAGCAGCGUCAGGUUUGGAGGAUUGUGUGGUUGCAGAGCAUCAACAACAUUCAGAGGCUUAACAAAGAACCCAACCAGGACCUGAGCGCAGACGACCCCGACGACUGCCCAGGUCAACAUCUGCUGGAGGGAAUUCUAGAUUUAUGCGGAACUUUGGAUCUGUGGGUGCGUAUUCUAGAUUUGUGCGUUUGUAAUUCCUGAUUUGUGUGUACGUAAUUACGUAAAAUAUUUAUAUUUUUAAAGGGAUACAUGUUCUUAAAACACUUAUUUAGACUUUUUUAUAUGAAUUAUUAGGCGUAUCUGUUAAACAAAGUGGGAAAAAUGUCACGUUUUACAGGAUAUUAUUGACAAUCUAAGUUUAAAACGGCUGAUAAAAAAACUCUGAUGACCCAGCAUUCUAGUAGUACUUGAACGCAUCACUCACAGAGAAUCUCUGAGAGAAAAGAGUCUCUCCAUAGAUUUGUGCGUAACUGAGGUUUUGUGUAACAAGUGAUUAACGUGGGAUUCAUAGACAUUUUCCUGUGUAAUUAGUUUGAAGCUGUUGUAAUCUUAAUUUGACUUGUGUAAAUUGUACUUUUUAUUUUUGUACUUAUGGACAGAAUGUAUUGUGUGAGUUACAAAUCAGGAAUAAUGGACGCAUAAAUCUGGGUGAUACUUGUUUCUCUCUAUAAUAUAUUCAUAUUUUAAUUGAUUUAUUUUUAUAACUUGACAUACUGUUCAUUUGGUGUAAAAGAAAUGUAAUAAUGGAAAACCUAACUUAAAUAACUCAAAAUUUGACGAUCAUUUUUCCUGGUGCUGUCUAAGCUGUGUUGGGGGAGGAGGGGGGCGUGCUGUGUUAUCUGUUAGUUCUUCUUUAAAAGUUUAAGGAUAAGAAAAAGCAACAAAACAAGCCCUCAGGGACAGCUUUAAGGUGAAAAGGGAAAGAAGAGAAGGCAAAACGGACUCAAAGACGUUUGUCUGAUUCAUUUACAGGCAGUUGCUUGAAAAUUCACCCCCCCCCCCACCCCCCAUUUUGGUAGGAAAAGAUCAAUUUAACUGACUUAGUUUUGUUUUCUUUUUGUAAAUCCUUAACAACAGAAACCUUAAACCUUUAAUAAACCUUUAAAACCUAAACACUGCAGCUGCUGCAGAAGUGCUUAAAGUGGUUAUUAUUUUAAUUUUGAGAGUUCAAAUAAAAUAAAAACUUAUUUAUUUAUUUAUUUUCGGACAGUGGUAUUGGUGGACACAAAAAUCCCGUUUCUCCUAGAGCGCCAUGCAGCUCAGGGCCUGAACCCAACUACCACCCGCCUGCUGUUGGACACUGACCUCGUCCACGCCGUACAGGACGGACCACUGCGGAGGGCUGUGCCGGACGCACUGGCCCAGGUCCAUCAGGUCGCUCCCGGAGAACUUUAUUCCCCUGAAGGAGGGAAUGAGCUGCUGGAUUCCGUCCACCAGGUCCACCACAGGCACUGGAGGAGACAGAAGAAACGUCUUCACCUGUGAUCUGAGAGGUCAUCGUCAUCAUCAUCAUCAUCAUCAUCGUCACUGACUGUUGAUGCCGGUGAUCGCCGGGAUCUGGUAAUAGUAGAACGGCACGGAUGGAGCCACUGAAGCCACUUCCUGCAGGAAUUUCCUCAAAGCUUCUGAGUGAGGAGGACAGGAGGGAAUGGUCUUCUUCCUCAGGUGAGUUUGCUGCACGUUUCUACUCCAGACAGCGAGACUCACCUGCAGUUUGGGGCUUGAAAAAGAAGGGGGCGAUGACGGCGAUUCCGUCGGCUCCGAUCUGAGCGGCGUGACGCGCCUGGAAGAGCGUGGAGAAGCAGGAGAACCAAAGUCAGGAUCCUGCUUUGACCUCCUCCAAAUGCUCCUGAACCCUCAGAGGUUUGUUCUCCUUCCAUCUGAAAUCGUCUGUUAGCAGCUUUGGGCCUCAGCCUGGAUCUACUCAGAUUAAAACCUUCGAUCUGAACUCCCAGGUUUCUCCCUCAGGACUUUGAUUCGUUCCCCGCCAGCGGAGCAGCGACUCACCAGAUC